GAUGAACGCUGGCGGCGUGCUUAACACAUGCAAGUCGAACGAUGAAGCCCAGCUUGCUGGGUGGAUUAGUGGCGAACGGGUGAGUAACACGUGAGUAACCUGCCCUUAACUCUGGGAUAAGCCUGGGAAACUGGGUCUAAUACCGGAUAGGAGCGUCCACCGCAUGGUGGGUGUUGGAAAGAUUUAUCGGUUUUGGAUGGACUCGCGGCCUAUUAGCUUGUUGGUGAGGUAAUGGCUCACCAAGGCGACGACGGGUAGCCGGCCUGAGAGGGUGACCGGCCACACUGGGACUGAGACACGGCCCAGACUCCUACGGGAGGCAGCAGUGGGGAAUAUUGCACAAUGGGCGCAAGCCUGAUGCAGCGACGCCGCGUGAGGGAUGACGGCCUUCGGGUUGUAAACCUCUUUCAGUAGGGAAGAAGCGAAAGUGACGGUACCUGCAGAAGAAGCACCGGCUAACUACGUG
rnacentral:rRNA from 1 species